CGGCGUCGCGACCAAACGUACCAGCGGCACAGCCGCCGAUCACGGUGUGUCGCAUGUUCGUCAACUGGCCUCGAACAUGGAUUCGAAUUGCUCCUGAGAACUAUCUGCUACCUCUGGACGUGUUGCUAAUGAAAGGUGGAUGGCGCGUUGUGGAAUGGCCCGAGUCUUGGCGCCCUCAAAGUACGAGAAAGGCCGCCACGUGGAGCAACAACUCCCGGAUCGACGAUAGCCGAAUGAUGAAGUAAUUCUCGCCAAUUUCGUGCACUCGAUGAAACAAACGAGACUCGUUUUCAUCCCCUAUCAGUGUCCCUGGUAGCGAUGGCCUCGAACCAACCCUUAUAAUCAAUUUGUCAAACCACCAUAGACGACUCUUCUGCCACAAUGUCGUCCAGGUACAAGGUAACCGAGUCGACCCGAGUCAGAGUCAGAAUCCAAUGAAUCUUCCAGAGCCCAAUUGGAUUUCCAGCUACGCAGCGCUACCAGAACCACAGGAUAGAAGGUGGGGAGGAUGAAGGGAUGCUGGGACUCGAGAGAUGAAAGAGAAAAGGAAUAAUUGACACGGAUGGCUAAAAUAUAAUAGACUCAAGGAAAGUUUGUACUUGUCGCUAGUCUGAAAGACGCUAGGAGGCAAAGGAGAAUAUAAGCAACCAGCUACCAGUAGCCACGUAAGCAGCCACCUAAAAGCUCUCUCAUUAAGAACUCCCCCUUCAUUGUUUACCAUCCUUUGUCUCUGCGCCUAAGAUGAAAGAAACCCCCCACGACAGAUUCAAGAAUUAGUUUUCAAUUUACGUGUUUCCGUUUCCCUCGUCCUCCUAAGCUUAUUUACAGCGAAUCAAGUUGCACACUUUCAAGAAUAGGCUCUGGGUACUCUGUGUAUAUACGUGCCGGUCGCCAUUUCCACCUUCAUCCCUCUCGAGGCGAACCCCUCUUUUGAGCUGAAUGAGAUCGCAGCAAUUUCAACGGGAUGAAUAUUUUAUUUUGAUUUGACCGGGCCAGAGGGGAUGCUCGUCCAGUGCAAUCACCUGUGAUAAAAAUCGAGAGGGAUUUCAAAUCCUGUUUCUUCUGACGCGUACGUUCGUUCCCCAGUGGACGCUGAUUCUCUUCUGGAUGGAUUAAAGCGAAGCGCCGAUGGAUGGUUGAGAGACGUGAAAGAGAAGAGAAAAAGAAGUGCCCAAGAAUAAUGUAGUAGAAGAUUUGGGAAAAUCGGAAAAGUUCAUGGCUUCCAGCCGGUAACUAACCGCUCGGCCGGAGGGGCUUGCAUAUUUCAGAACGUCAUCUAGAGUCGCCAGACUGAAGGGAGGACGAGGGGGUGGAUGUGCUCCAGAGAAAGGGUGAAAUGAAACGCGAAAGUAGUAGCGGGCUGGAGGUGGACGGGAAGGAAGGGAAAGUUGGCGAGGGAUGAAAUGUGAAGAGACGCUCACGGAAUACGGGUUAAGUGUUCUUAAAAUGAAAAAAAAUGAGGUGCACGCCCGCCGUGGCCGGAAAUACUUGGUGCUCGUCCUACCAGGAGACAUUGCGAUUAAAUAUUAACUCGAGGGAGGCAGCCAUGGAAAACUUUUAGAAGUCUGAGGAUGCGAAGCUAGAGACGGUACGAGGUGGAGGUUAGAGAAGUUGUAAAUAAAAGGAAGAUAAAAAAAGGAAAGAAGAAAGGCCGAGCAAACGUACGACGUAUCGAUCUGCCUUUGGAAUUUGGUGAAAACAAGAAGAUUACGGAAAGGAAGGAGCCGGGCUCAGGGCGCUUCUGCUUGAAUUAUAAAAGACUCUACGAAGUCUGAGGAACAUCGCCAGCGGCGAUCUAACGACGCAGCGCUAACGUCGUUAAAGUCUCUGCGUCGCGACGCCUUGACGAAAUAAUUCAAGGCUCCUCUCCUUCACUCUCUCUUUCUUUCUCUUGGCAUAGACCUGUAAAAGCUUUGGGAAAACAGCCUCGAGGGCUGCUACCCAACCCAGCAUAGCGGCCUAGAAUGGCUGUGGUCACGUCACAUUUACCAGUCUCCUUUCCAGCGUCACCACCACCUCCGCCACCGCCGCCGCCGCCACCACCACUUCUCUCGGGGACUAGAGUCUGGCAAUUAUUUCUUGUUUAGUUCGGCCGUAUAUCAGAUCGACGAAAGCAGCCACCAACUGUUACGGACAGUCACGUACGAGCCGAGCAAUAUCGCUGGCAGGACCUUUAUUCUUUCUUAUUACUUAAUAUCCCGGUAACGAGGAUAAAUGUGGGCCCCUCGUUGCCGACUAAUUGCCGCACAGCCAUGCCCGAACGCCUGACUCCUCAGAGUUCCCGAGGUUCGGCCUUAUCAGAGGUUAACGAGUGAAAAUAAUCCUGACGGCAUCCAGUGCAACUAUUCUCAAGAGCAACCUCAUAAGGGGGCACCGUUUACUUGGCUCCACCAGCUCAUUUGCAGAUUCCUUCAUUUACUCGCUGCUUGGAUAUUUUUCCUCCUGGAUUGCCAGUUCAGUUAUGCAGGAGACGAACUUGCUGGAUUGCUUCCCAGAAGCAGAGACUGUUUGAACUAGGCAACCAGCGAUCAGCAAGAUCCGCUCCUCGACAUCCAGACGAAUGCUUUAAUUUCAGUUUGAAAGAGAGCGGCUGCACUAUCCAAUUGCUGCCAGAGGGUACCAGGUUGCUACGGAUGCUGGUUCCUGCCAUUACUCGUCCCCGCAACCGGCCCUUCGCCCCGGUCGGCUCUGCAUACUCGAAAUGCUCGAGAAUUGAAUCGUAAAUUGAACUUCAUCUAUUUCGCAGAACGACGGGCUCUAAGGACGCCUCGCGCCGCGCGGCGUCGGCAUUUGUAAUCGGUACCUAGAAGCGCGAGGAGGGACGACGAAUUUAUUGAAAAUUGAAUCUCACCAGGUCGCCUUACACGUCCUCGUACAGUCUGACGAAUAGCCAAGCAGAAACCAACGCUGUCACUCAUCCCUGCAGUCUUACUUCUCUUUGUUUUUUUAAUCUGGCUUAAUCCUUUCAAAAAUUAACACGAUCUCAAAAAGUUUUCAAGCACUUCGCAGUCGGCCUCGAAAACCGUCGAGGGGAUGCUGCUAGGAGAAUUCUCAAUGGCGAACGGGUUGCCGAUUAAUUAAUCUAAAUUUUAGCCCGAGGCUCACGCGACAGGGCGAAAUUAGAAUUUGUCGCUGCAGGGGUGAGUUUAUUAACAGGGGCUCGAUGUGCAGCGGCUUUUUCGACUGAUUCGUUUAUAAAUUACGUUGACGCCUCUUUAAUAAUUAACGUUCAGUAAUUAACGCUCUUAGCUCUGGCCCUCCCCCUGGCCCCCUCUUGAUAGCUAAAUUCGUUUUCAACGCAAACAUCAAAAACAAAGAAGAGAAUAGAUCUGCGUAAGGAAGAUGAAAUAUUUUCACCUUCAAAAUCCAGCUCGAUAUUUCAGCCCCAACGAUCCGUCUUCUCAUCCGUUCAUUUAUUCUUCCCUCGGCAAGAAUAUCCUACCAGCCGAAGCCCGAAACGCAUGGAACGACCGCAGCGACCUCGGGAGCUGGGAAGAAAAUUCGCAGUAUUUUCGCCUGGAAAAACUACCCUCUCACUCUCUAACGACUCACGCAAUACCUAACUCCUCGAGAACACGCACCGGCAGUCGCAUCCGGGUCGCACGACCUCGAAGUCCUUCGCAACCUCCUUUCGUAGCUGCACCUACCCAUCUGCCCCUCGAGCACCCUCUGGAAGAACGAGUGGGCUCGCUUAGCCGGAACUGGAACAAAUUUCCAGGAGGUUGCAUGAUUCAGAGGAAUCCCGGUCACUCGAGCAGAGACACGAAACUGUGGGGGAAAAAAGAG